CCUACGGGAGGCAGCAGUGGGGAAUAUUGCACAAUGGGGGAAACCCUGAUGCAGCGACGCCGCGUGAGUGAAGAAGUAAUUCGUUAUGUAAAGCUCUAUCAGCAGGGAAGAACAUGCCGGUACCUGAGUAAGCAGCCCCGGCCAACUACGUGCCAGCAGCCGCGGUAAUACUUAGGGGGCACGCGUUAUCCGGAUUUACUGGGUGUAACGGUAGCGUAGACGGCUGUGCAAGUCUGGAGUGAAAGGCGACGGCUCAACCUCCGGAGUGCACUGGAAACUGUACGACUGGAGUGCAGUAGAGGAAAGUGGAAUUCCAAGUGUAGCGGUGAAAUGCGUAGAGAUUAGGAGGAACACCAGUGGCGAAGGCGGCUUACUGGUCUGUAACUGACGCUGAGGCGCGAAAGCGUGGGGAGCAAACAGGAUUAGAUACCCCAGUAGUC
rnacentral:rRNA from 1 species